rnacentral:tRNA from 1 species
GGGAAGGUGGCUCAGUGGUAGAGCGCUUGCCUUGCAUGCAUGACUCCCUGGACCAAAAAAAAGAUGAUUUCUUUGUUGCUUUGUAUGUCCUUCCCC